rnacentral:snRNA from 1 species
GUGCUCACUUCAGCAGCACAUAUACUAAAAUUGGAAUGACACAGAAAAGAUUAUUAGCAUGGCCCCUGCCCAAGGAUGACAUGCAAAUUAAUGAAGCAAUCUGUAUUUUC